CGGUAAUUCCAGCUCCAAUAGCGUAUACUAAAGUUGUUGCAGUUAAAAAGCUCGUAGUUGGAUUUCUGUGGGGACGGAGCGGCCGGCCGCAACUUGCGGUUCGAGCUAGCGCUUUCCCUACAUCCCGCCGCGAACCGUGCUACCAUUAGUUUGGUGGCGCCGGGGAUCGGCUCGUUUACUUUGAGAAAAAUAGAGUGUUCAAAGCAGGCCACACGCCUUGAAUAAGUUAGCAUGGAAUAAUAAUAAAGGACUUCGGUUCUAUUUUGUUGGUGUUCGGGACUGAAGUAAUGAUUGAUAGGGACAGUUGGGGCGGUCAGUAUUCCAAAGCGAGAGGUGAAAUUCUUAGACCUUCGGAAGACUAACAGCUGCGAAAGCGUUCCGCAAGGAUGUUCCCUUUGAUCAAGAACGAAAGUUGGGGGAUCGAAGACGAUCAGAUACCGUCGUAGUCUCAACUAUAAACUAUACCAGCUAGGGAUCGGCCAACGUUAAAUUAUUCGACUUGGUCGGCACCUUAUGAGAAAUCAAAGCAUCUGGGUUCCGGGGGGAGUAUGGUCGCAAGGCUGAAACUUAAAGGAAUUGACGGAAGGGCACCACCAGCCGUGGAGCCUGUGGCUUAAUUUGACUCAACACGGGAAAACUUACCAGGUCCAGACAUAGUAAGGAUUGACAGAUUGAUAGCUCUUUCUUGAUUCUGUGGGUGGUGGUGCAUGGCCGUUCUUAGUUGGUGGAGUGAUUUGUCUGGUUAAUUCCGUUAACGAACGAGACCCCAGCCUGCUAAAUAGCGCGGUUGAGCUUUGCUCGGCGCGAGCUUCUUAGAGGGACUAUGAUGCGCGAUAGCACAUGGAAGUUUGGGGCAAUAACAGGUCUGUGAUGCCCUUAGAUGUUCUGGGCCGCACACGGGCUACACUGACGCGUGCAACGAGCAUAUCAGCUGGCCCGAGAGGGCAUGGGCUAAUCUUUUGAACUCGCGUCGUGCUAGGGAUUGACCAUUGCAAUUGUUGGUCAUGCAACGAGGAAUGCCUUGUAAACGCGAGUCAUCAACUCGCAUUGAAUACGUCCCUGCUCUUUGUACACACCGCCC
rnacentral:rRNA from 1 species